rnacentral:rRNA from 1 species
GAUGAACGCUGGCGGCGUGCCUAAUACAUGCAAGUAGAACGCUGAGGGAGGGGCUUUCUCUUCUGGAUGAGUUGCGAACGGGUGAGUAACGCGUAGGUAACCUGCCUGUGAGCGUGGGAUAACUAUUGGAAACGAUAGCUAAUACCGCAUGACAACAGUUAUUGCAUGAUAACUGUUUAAAAGGGGCAACUGCUCCACUACCAGAUGGACCUGCGUUGUAUUAGCUAGUUGGUGAGGUAACGGCUCACCAAGGCGACGAUACAUAGCCGCACUGAGAUGGGGAGCGGCCACACUGGGACUGAGACACGGCCCAGACUGCCUCGGGAGGCAGCCGUACGGCAUCUUCGGCCAUGGAUGGAAGUCUGACCGCGAAAAGCCGAGGGAGGGAAGAAGGUUUCCGGAUCGGAAAGCUCGGUUGUAAGAGAAGAAAGAGCGUGAGAGUGGAAAGUUCACACUGUGACGGUAUCUUAUCAGAAAGCGCCGGCUAACUACGUG